rnacentral:lncRNA from 1 species
UUUUCUUCUGUUUCAACAGGCUAAUCAAGAGAUCCCAAACUGGCUAGAAGAUAUUGCAGAAGAAGCCAUUGGUACAGACUAUGGUCCAGCUGGAGGACGGUUUGGUGCAAGAGAUACCAGAAGAGAGUAUGGGAGCAAGCGUGGUGGCGGUGGUGACAGCAUGUCUAAUGGAUUCUCAACAGAUCCAAUCUCAGCUGGUAUCCCUGAUGGAGAUGAUGAUUGGGACUAGGCACUAAACAACAUCCCAAUAGUGCAUCGCUGGCUUGGUUGUGUCAAUUUUCAGGCCAGCAUUUUAUUGUAUACAAGUUAAUUAGUUAAAGUUCAUAUAUUUUGGCAAAUAAGAGAUUUUUCUAGAUUUAAUGGCCAGUUGAUUAUCGUGUGAAUACGUAAAACAAUAAUGCAAGUUUAUUGAAAACAGCGCCCUUUGGCAAGUCACUGAUUGGCUGGAAUUAUGCACCCUGGAUGAUUGUUGUAACUUAACUGCAAGCGAGGCUGGUCUCAGCGCAGUUUACAUGCAGAAAUAUGCUGGCUUAACAAAUGGCUGAAUUACUUUUGAGCAGGACUGGGAACUAUUCAAAUACCCAAGAGUACUUUGCUGGCAUAACAAAUGGCUGAAUUACUUUUGAGCAGGACUGGGAACUAUUCAAAUACCCAAGAGUACUUUGCUGGCAUAACAAAUGGCUGAAUUACUUUUGAGCAGGACUGGGAACUAUUCAAAUACCCAAGAGUACUUUGCUGGCAUAACAAAUGACUGAAUUACUUUUGAGCAGGACUGGGAACUAUACAAUUACCCAACAGUAAUGUUACUUUGCUGGCCUAACAAAUGGCUGAAUUACUUUUGAGCAGGACUGGGAACUAUAUAAUUACUCAUCAGUACUUUGCUGGCCUAACAAAUGGCUGAUUAACUACCUAUUUUGACUGGGGNCAACGCAAUUCCCCAGCUAGUAGUACUUUGCUAGCUACAAAAUGGCUGGCAAAAUAGUGAGCAAAUAACGUGAUGACAAGAAACUUAAAGGAACUACAUUUAUAUCUUAAUGGAGAUGUUACCAUUUCCUAGUCUGGGAAAGCUUUCAUGAUGCCUAAAGUUUGGCAAAUGCAAAUACGUAGAAAACAAGUCUACAAUGAUAUNAUAUUAUUCUAUUAAAGCUCAUUCAUGAAUAUGAUAUUGAGAUGGAGAGAAAAUCUGGACGCCUAUUUGCUUGCAGUGCAUUGUUGGUAUGAUUAACAAGCUUCACAAGUUUGUUUAAAUAUAACUGAAAUCUUCCGCUUGGCUGGUCAAAUGUGAAAGUAUGCGACAUAAAGUGGAAUAAUGGUGAUCAGCUUAUGNCUAAAAAGAAUGAGUUACAUGAUUAAUUUCAAUAAGACUGGUCAGAGAACAAUAUUCCAUGUGGAGUUGGCGACAAAGACUCAGUUACACACACUACUGAUGUGGAAUUGCUGACUAAGGCUCAGUUAUAUUUGCUGGUGAUGUGCUAAAGCAAAACAAAAUGGUGCACAUGGCUUUGUGAUUUUUUCAGAACAAGACAGUUAAACCUAUCUGUUGCNUCCUUCAUACAAGGACUAGUAAUCUCAACCAGCCUCAACUUAUUUGCUAUUGAUGCAUUAUAGCAUGUUUGGGCUGGUUUAAGGUAACCAUAAUGGAACAACGUAGAUGAUAUACAACAGAUAUGUAUAUUGUGGACAAGCUGUAGUUUUAACUUGGAAAGUUAGNAUAGCUGUUGGCUGAAAAUUGGGUAUUAAUUCCAUAAAUGCAAGGAACUCUGUGUAAAANUGAAAUGCCUUCUGGUCAUCAUUGCUUUAAACUCUAAUAAGCGACAAUUUCAAGUUUUCAAUCUUGGAAGCUAUCUUUGAAGUGAAAGGAUUUAGAACAAAUCAUUCCUAAAGUAUUCGUGGAGUUAAACUACAGUUUAUGGCAGUACAUUCAAGUACUGCAAGGUAUUCAGGAAAUACUGGAUGCUACAAAUGUUAGGCCAAUAGCACACCCUAACAGUUUAAAGUAUGCAAAGGUAUUCAGAAAAGUUUAACUACAUUUGCUGAUAAGGUGGUUAAUCUGCCUAGAAACAUUGCAAAUACUACUAGGUUGGGAAGCUGUUUUGCCAACAAAGAACUUGCAGGAGUUACGAUAAAGAAGUAUGUUUGUAUCUGGAUGCAAGAUCCUGCAGGUUGAUUCCAGAACAAUCUAAUUUAGACAGUGACAAUUCAUGUCAACAUACCAGGGGACAAGUUUGACAUUUGCAGUUAAUUUUCAUUUUCAACCAAGGCUAGAGAUGAAGUUAGAACAGUUCUGUUCAUACAUUGUUUGUGAAGAAAACUAUUCUAGAUUUAUCCGACAACCCAAGUUCUGUUUUCUUAAGUGUUUUUUUUUCAUUUGAUAGGUCAACACUACUUUUGGUUGCCUUUGAAACAGCUUGGAGAACUUUGCUUGGGUUGCCUGUGUGAAAGGCCUAGAAACUAUUGCAUGGGUCACCCUGUAAAGGUUUAAAGGGCUUUGAUAUUUGAAGGCCUGUAGUUNAAUGCUUCAUUUUAUGAAAUAAAUGUUCUUUUAAAUAUUCCACAA